GCGCCUGUCAGUGCCCGGCAUUACAAUGCUUUAUGACCUUUUAUCACCGAUGACUUGUUGACACAAUAACCGAGAGCAAAUCAACUUGAAUCCCACUGCUGGGCUCAGACGGUGGAGAGCUGUGACUCAGUGGUGAAUCUUGGUUUCAAGGAUCACACAAUACUUUACCAGCCAGUUUCAAUGAACCAGAAAAAAAAA